rnacentral:rRNA from 1 species
AUGAUGCUUCAAGGUUCAAGAAAAUCCACUCUCCGGGAUGAUGUUUCCGGUGCCGCCUUGUUAUGUAUUGCCAAAGAGGCUGACCUGACGUUGGAGUUGAUGAGGCAUGGGACUGAUCCCACUGAUGAUUACUUGGUCGACCAGGGCAUAGAGAUACACAUGUGUGCCUUGUGCCUUAUGAACGGGGGUACUUCGGUCAAUUUUGUUGCUACCACCGCUGCCAUGCUGGGUAUGGCAAGGGAGGCCAAAAUGGUGUGCGCAUGGAUGUGUAAAAAUAACAAGCCUAUUGAUUUCUACGAUGAUCUCAUACCUGAUGAGAUAAUGGACAGCUGCAGGAUCGGUACCAUACCUUGA